ACGCUCGACACCUACGGGAAGCAGCAGUGAGGAAUAUUGGUCAAUGGACGCAAGUCUGAACCAGCCAUGCCGCGUGCAGGAUGACGGCUCUAUGAGUUGUAAACUGCUUUUGUACGAGGGUAAACGCAGAUACGUGUAUCUGUCUGAAAGUAUCGUACGAAUAAGGAUCGGCUAACUCCGUGCCAGUAGCCGCGGUAAUCUGAGCGGGCUGGCAAGGC
rnacentral:rRNA from 1 species